GUGGGGAAUCUUGCGCAAUGGGCGAAAGCCUGACGCAGCCAUGCCGCGUGAAUGAUGAAGGUCUUAGGAUUGUAAAAUUCUUUCACCGGGGACGAUAAUGACGGUACCCGGAGAAGAAGCCCCGGCUAACUUCGUGCCAGCAGCCGCGGUAAUACGAAGGGGGCUAGCGUUGCUCGGAAUUACUGGGCGUAAAGGGCGCGUAGGCGGACAGUUUAGUCAGAGGUGAAAGCCCAGGGCUCAACCUUGGAAUUGCCUUUGAUACUGGCUGUCUUGAGUUUGGGAGAGGUGAGUGGAACUCCGAGUGUAGAGGUGAAAUUCGUAGAUAUUCGGAAGAACACCAGUGGCGAAGGCGACUCACUGGCCCAAUACUGACGCUGAGGCGCGAAAGCGUGGGGAGCAAACAGGAUUAGAUACCCCAGUAGUCC
rnacentral:rRNA from 1 species